rnacentral:lncRNA from 1 species
UAUCGUAAGAAUUUGUGUAGUCGUCAUAAAUAAAUCUGAGUUCUCUUUCUUGAAUUUUUUCUAUUUUCUUUGUGUUUUGUUCACUGCAGAAGUGCCAUGUAAGAGGACAGUAGCUGAGGUUUGACAUGAUAAAUGAGUGGUAUAUUGUAAGUUUAGAAAGUCUGGUGAGAUGAGUGCCAAUUCUUUUUAGAACGUUUAGUUGUCGUGCAGCUUUUUUUUUGCAAAUAUUUGAAAUGUGAGUGUUGAAAUCCAGUUUAAAGUCUAUUGUUACACCGAGAAGUUUCACUUCGUCGUCACAUUUUAUAUUGAAUCCAUUUAGGUUGAAAACAAUAUUUUGAGUGUGUGUGGUUUUUUUUUACCUAUGGCAAUUGCCUGGAAUUUUUCUGGGUUUGCCUGCAUUUUGUUGAAAGAGAACCAUGAUAUUAAGGAAUUACUAUCUCCCUCUAAGGGUUUAAAAAUUGAUUCCAAAGUAGUACCUGUUUUUGAGAGGUUGAUAUCAUCAGCAUAGUUAUAUAAAUCACAGUGUUUGACAAAAAGAAAAAUAUCAUUUAUGAAUACAUUAA